rnacentral:lncRNA from 1 species
GUUUCUCUCCUCUGUAGACAGCCUCCAGUGACAGAAUAACUCUGUUUCUCUCCUCUGUAGACAGCCUCCAGUGACAGAAUAACUCUGGUUCUCUCCUCUGUAGACAGCCUCCAGUGACAGAAUAACUCUGUUUCUCUCCUCUGUAGACAGCCUCCAGUGACAGAAUAACUCUGUUUCUCUCCUCUGUAGACAGCCUCCAGUGGCAGAAUAACUCUGUUUCUCUCCUCUGUAGACAGCCUCCAGUCUGCAUGAGAGUGUAUGAAUGUGUUUCUCUGCUAUGAUCCAUAGAGGAAUCUCUCACUCUCUUUUUCUCACUGAUCUCAUUUCCUCUCUCACACCCUCCCUCUCUCUCUACUGUGAUGUAGGAACAAAGAUGUGAUUGGUUAAGGAGGAAGAGGGAGGGGCUGUCAGACAUAACAUCUGGUAGGAGGGUUUGAACUGGUAGAGAUAGAGAGAGAGAGAUGCAGACUUGGACACACACCAUUAUAUCAGGACCUAUAGACACCUGGACCAACCUGGAGAGAACACAGCAUUAUAUCAGGACCUAUAGACACCUGGACCAACCUGGAGAGAACACAGCAUUAUAUCAGGACCUAUAGACACCUGGACCAACCUGGAGAGAACACAGUAUUAUAUCAGGACCUAUAGACACCUGGACCAACCUGGAGAGAACACACUAUUAUAUCAGGAACUAUAGACACCUGGACCAACCUGGAGAGAACACAGUAUUAUAUCAGGACCUAUAGACACCUAGACCAACCUGGAGAGAACACAACAUUAUAUCAGGACCUAUAGACACCUGGACCAACCUGGAGAGAACACAGCAUUAUAUCAGGACCUAUAGACACCUGGACCAACCUGGAGAGAACACAGUAUUAUAUCAGGAACUAUAGACACCUGGACCAACCUGGAGAGAACACAGAAUUAUAUCAGGACCUAUAGACACCUGGACCAACCUGGAGAGAACACAGCAUUAUAUCAGGACCUAUAGACACCUGGACCAACCUGGAGAGAACACAGCAUUAUAUCAGGACCUAUAGACACCUGGACCAACCUGGAGAGAACACAGUAUUGU